AUCGAGUGACGUUCUAGUUUCCAGUGCUUGUACGUCAUAGCGGUAAACAAACUGUGUUACUGUGGCGCGCAAUGUGUCAACAAACAAUCUUUCAAAUGACAAUAACGUAGUGACGUCACCAUCUAUGUAUAGAAUGCUGUGGACCGCUCGCAUUAUUUCAAAAUAAUGAAUUCAUGUAAUAUUCCACCGUCAUAUCAGAUCCAUGUUGUUCGGUUGAAACGUUGUCAGAUGGUGACCGGCGUCGUAUCCUUUCAGAAGAAUGGACCGAUCAAAGCACCUUCAAGUUUCCGUCAAGUUUCGCGGCUCAGACGCUCAUUCCAUCGAGGGUACAGUCUGUCACAGAUAAAGACAUAUAAGCCGUGUACGAAUGCUAUGCAGCGGACCUCCAGUGUGAGCGUCAACAGCUGGACCAAGAGGUCAAUCGAUGGAAGGUCCGAUGGAGUCUAAUAGAUGCAGACAAACAGCCCAAAACCCUGCUUGAUGCACUGAAUGCUUGUGGAAGCGCUUACCCACUUAUUCAGCUGAUACUCACAGAAUUACUCACUAUGCCUGCAACAUCAGCAUCUUGCGAGCGGUCCUUCAGCUCCAUGAAGCGUAUUAAGACGUAUAAAGUACAUUCGCUCUACCAUGGGCGAGGAUCGCCUUACUGCGCUUGCAGUGCUCCGCAUCCACCGGGAAAGUGUAGUGGACAUUGAAAAAGUGAUCAACACUUUUGCCUCUACCAAGAGUCGGAACAUGCAGUUCCUCUAACCAAGCAAAUUGCCAUCUGUUGCCAAAACUGUAUAUAAUAAAAAAAUUGUGUAACAAAUGUAAAAAACGUUUUCACCAAAACGAA